GUAUCAAUAAGCGGAGGAAAAGAAACUAACAAGGAUUCCCCUAGUAACGGCGAGUGAAGCGGGAAGAGCUCAAAUUUGAAAUCUGGCGGUCCUCGCGGCCGUCCGAGUUGUAGUCUAGAGAGGCGUAUUCCGCGGCGGACCACGUACAAGUCCUUUGGGAUGAGGCGUCAUAGAGGGUGAGAAUCCCGUCCAUG
rnacentral:rRNA from 1 species